GACGAACGCUGGCGGCGUGCCUAAUACAUGCAAGUCGAACGCUUCUUUUUCCACCGGAGCUUGCUCCACCGGAAAAAGAGGAGUGGCGAACGGGUGAGUAACACGUGGGUAACCUGCCCAUCAGAAGGGGAUAACACUUGGAAACAGGUGCUAAUACCGUAUAACAAUCGAAACCGCAUGGUUUUGAUUUGAAAGGCGCUUUCGGGUGUCGCUGAUGGAUGGACCCGCGGUGCAUUAGCUAGUUGGUGAGGUAACGGCUCACCAAGGCCACGAUGCAUAGCCGACCUGAGAGGGUGAUCGGCCACAUUGGGACUGAGACACGGCCCAAACUCCUACGGGAGGCAGCAGCAGGGAAUCUUCGGCAAUGGACGAAAGUCUGACCGAGCAACGCCGCGUGAGUGAAGAAGGUUUUCGGACCGUAAAACUCUGUUGUUAGAGAAGAACAAGGAUGAGAGUAACUGUUCAUCCCUUGACGGUAUCUAACCAGAAAGCCACGGCUAACUACGUGCCAGCCGCCGCUGUAA
rnacentral:rRNA from 1 species